CUGUAGGAGCUCGAACGAGGUCUUCCUACAGUCGAAAUAGAAGAUGGAGUCUGGCUCACGUAGGAGUCCGGACGAAGUCUGCCCGCAGUCGGAGUAGAAGAUGGAGUCCGGCUCACGUAGGAGUUCGGACGAAGUCUGCCUGCAAUCAGAGUAGAAGACGGAGUUCGACUCCCGUAGGAGUCCGAACGAAGUCUGCCUACAGUCGGAGUAGAAGAUGGAGUCUGGCUCCCGUAGGAGU
rnacentral:lncRNA from 1 species